CCAGACUCCUACGGGAGGCAGCAGUGAGGAAUAUUGGUCAAUGGGCGGGAGCCUGAACCAGCCAAGUCGCGUGAGGGAUGACGGCCCUAUGGGUUGUAAACCUCUUUUGCCGGGGAGCAAAGUGCCGCACGUGUGCGGUUUGGAGAGUACCCGGAGAAAAAGCAUCGGCUAACUCCGUGCCAGCAGCCGCGGUAAUACGUAGGGAGCGAGCGUUGUCCGGAUUUACUGGGUGUAAAGGGCGUGCAGCCGGGAGUACAAGUCAGAUGUGAAAUCCCGCGGCUCAACCGCGGAACUGCAUUUGAAACUGUAUUUCUUGAGUACUGGAGAGGCAGACGGAAUUCCUAGUGUAGCGGUGAAAUGCGUAGAUAUUAGGAGGAACACCAGUGGCGAAGGCGGUCUGCUGGACAGCAACUGACGGUGAGGCGCGAAAGCGUGGGGAGCAAACAGGAUUAGAUACCCCCGUA
rnacentral:rRNA from 1 species